CGCGUAGGCGGAUUGGAAAGUUGGGGGUGAAAUCCCGGGGCUCAACCCCGGAACUGCCUCCAAAACUAUCAGUCUAGAGUUCGAGAGAGGUGAGUGGAAUUCCAAGUGUAGAGGUGAAAUUCGUAGAUAUUUGGAGGAACACCAGUGGCGAAGGCGGCUCACUGGCUCGAUACUGACGCUGAGGUGCGAAAGUGUGGGGAGCAAACA
rnacentral:rRNA from 2 species